rnacentral:rRNA from 1 species
UACGUAGGGUGCAAGCGUUAAUCGGAAUUACUGGGCGUAAAGCGUGCGCAGGCGGCUUUGCAAGACAGAUGUGAAAUCCCCGGGCUCAACCUGGGAACUGCAUUUGUGACUGCAUCGCUCGAGUGUGGCAGAGGGGGAUGGAAUUCCGCGUGUAGCAGUGAAAUGCGUAGAUAUGCGGAGGAACACCGAUGGCGAAGGCAAUCCCCUGGGCCUGCACUGACGCUCAUGCACGGAAGCGUGGGGAGCAAACAGG